CAGUAGCCACGGGAAUACGAAGGGGGCUAGCGUUGCUCGGAAUGACUGGGCGUAAAGGGCGCGUAGGCGGCUGACACAGUCAGAUGUGAAAUUCCUGGGCUCAACCUGGGGACUGCAUUUGAGACGUGUUGGCUUGAGUGGAGAAGAGGGUCGUGGAAUUUCCAGUGUAGAGGUGAAAUUCGUAGAUAUCGGAAAGAACACCGGUGGCGAAGGCGGCGACCUGGUCUUUAACUGACGCUGAGGCGCGAAAGCGUGGGGAGCAAACAGGAUUAGAUACCCCCGUAGUCCCUGUCUCUUAUAA
rnacentral:rRNA from 1 species